rnacentral:lncRNA from 1 species
CGCCUUUCUGAGUUCACUUCCCAACAUUUUAAAGGAAAACACUUUUAUAGGUCUCAAAAUACAUUUAAAAGAAGAUUUAGGAGAGCAUCGUUGCUUCUUUCUAAACUGACACGAUUAAUGGAAGCUCUAGUAACUUCCACAGCUGAUUCCUUUGAAGAGUCUGGGUUGUUUUGAGACAAAUCCCCUUUUCCCAUUUAAUGCUGAUACAGUCUGAGGUCCUGCUUUAAGGAAACGAGAUUUCAGUUCACUAAAACAAAAGGUGCUUCUUCCCACAGCCUCAUACUGAGAGAGAACUUGUGCUAUAAAGUGUGCAUUAUGGUUUGUGUGUAUGUGUUCAUACAGAAUAGACAUAUACUACAUACAUUAGAAUCAUUUGCUUUAUUUUCUAGAAAUAAGAAACUGACCAGUAUUUCCUUUGAUUUAGUGUAAGAAAAACUUCCCCUUCCCUUAGUCUCUCCUUGUUCUAAGUAUACAGGGCUUCAAGGCAGGGGCGUUGCCUUGUAAAGAUGGAUUUUCCACCAUCUAACCUCUCGCAAUCUGUGCUGUCAUCAUCGUUACCAGGAUCUGCUGAUGAUGGAGCAAGUGAAAGACUUUGCUGCCAACGUGUACGAAGCAUUCAGCACCCCCCAACAACUGGAGAAAUGAUUGUUUUCUUUCAAGAAAAACCACAGUGGAUUCAUCUACAUUAAAAAGUACUCUGAAUAAAUCACCUAUACCUAGAGUGACAAUUUGCAACCAAAUGCCUAAUAAAAUAUAUUCUUGAGCCAAGUCUUCAUCUCAUAAUGAAGUAGAUUCAUUUAGCACCUUACUGUAUUUUUAAUUCAGCACAGUCUACUUCCUCAGGUGUAUCUAACUGUGCAGAGAUCACGUCAGCAUCAAUCAUGAUUCCUUAAAGUCUGGAUAGCUGAUCCAAACAAGUAGGGCUUUUAUACAUACAUGGAAUGGAAUGUGGUGUCCUUUCACACAUGUAAUGAGGGAAAAUGUGUCUUGAAAAGGAGAUCUAGGCUGUUUAACUAAUUAUGGCGUUUCCUGGACUCUGAAGUAAGCAAGAGCAAGCCAGAUCCUCUUCAGUCGCCCUUAGAAGGCACCCGUGAUUUGCUCACACAUACCUACGCAGGGGCUUAUCUUCUAGAAAUGAGUGGGUUUCCACACCUGUGGUCACUUACUUCUCUGCACUGUCCUGUCAGUAUUUAUUUGCAGCAUUUUCUAAGCUUCAUUAGCAGCCCUCAGAAGGCUGCAUAUAGAUUCUUCAAGCUAAUGUUUAUGUUGUUUACUCACAAUUAUUAAUAAUUACAGGUUUAUUCAUUUAUGUAUAAAUUAAUAACUUUGUAUUGAUUUUGAGUAUAAUAAGUUGUUACAAUAAACUAUUUUAAUAAAAUAUAGUUUGGUUUAGUUAAUAGUUUUUUAGCCAUUAAUUUAUUUGUUCUUUAAUAAGAUUUUUGCUGUUUUUUUUUAAAGAGAGCAUGCUAAUUUUAACUGGUAUAUAGUUAAUGCUUUCUUAUAAUUUUUUUCAGAAAAAAUGUAAAUAAAAACAAAUUAUCUCUUGUUUCU